CUCUUCUUCGGUGAUGCACAGCCACUCGUUUGACGAUGAUCUAACGAGGGGUGGGCCACGCACUCCCUUCUCUCACAAAAUCUUGCCACUUUUGGCGAGAAAUAGAACUGGACUUGGAAUGUGUUCCGGUCUCCGUCACCCUCUCUCUUUCUUCCCCUUCCAAACGACCUGUUUAUUUUCAUCUCUCAAACUCUCGCGUACCAAACGAGCUGUUAAUUCAUGUUAUAUGAAUAUUAAAAUUUCUCUCCAAUUUUCCCCCAAUUUCCCUCUCAUUUUCUUUCCCUCACUUUCCCUAAAAACCAAACAAAGCCUGACUGCGAGAGUACGAGGUUCAUUUUGGAUAUGAUUUUCGCGGUUGUGUUUCAGAAAUUGGUUCUUUCUGUUUCCCGUUUCUGCAUUGUCUACAGUCGAUCAUCGGAUAAAGAUGACAUUAAACCCCUCACUUCCAUCACCAGGUGCUCUGCUUCCUUAUAUCCAUCACACCCGUUCAAGUCGUUGAAUUUCAACUUUCCCAAGUCCUUAUAUAUUUGCUUCACCAAGUCAUCCAGAGAUGUUACCUUCAUGGAGAUGAUUGAUAUGUUGAGGUGGGAAUGAACAGUGAGCUCCUGUCUUCGUCCUUUUCUUUUCAUUAUUUCGAACCCACAGUCUAAUACAAGGUUGCUGUCUUCAUCUUGAUGGCCAUAUUCAGUGACAGGAAGGACGUCAAAGGGUUCUCUUGUGGUCGUGGUGCCGGAAUAUCCUUCUGUUCAUGCAGUGGAAGGCAAGUGAUUUCGGUGUUUCCUCCAUCAACUCCUGCAACAUAAAAAAGACGAGGUUCAAUUACUUCAACUACUAAUCUUCUGCAAACAGAAGUUCUGAUUUAUAUGCAAAUGCCAUAUUUGACUAGAACCAGGAAGCUGAGAUCCAGGCAAAGAAGGAUGGCGAUUUCUUCUUCUUCUUUUUUGUGUGCCAAAUGUCAUAUUUGACUGAAACCUGGAUUUAGGCAAAGAAGGAUAGAGAAGUGAUAUGUGUUAUUGAAAUAAGUAUUCUUCGACAGGUGUUGAGGUGUCUAUUACGUCAUGGAGGUGAUUAUUUUUUUUCCUGAACAUUUAGGGGACACAACCACUUUAGCAGCCGGGUUGUGCCUCUGGCCCAUCUCAAGUCCCUGUGACUCAACACCCAAACCUGAGGUACUGAGGACCCCAAUCUCCUGUAAUGGGCAAAGAGCAAGGACUUUGGCAUUUGCCAAGAGGUGAAUUUGAGACCCCUAGGAUAACAUCCCAAGAGUCUAGCCAUCCAACCAACCUCCCGGGGGGUUAUGGCAGGCAUAGUGAUUUUGAGGGAAUUGGUAUCUUGCUUCAGGACGAACGCUUAGGAGGAUGAGUUAGAUCUUGCCAUUCAGGGAGAUUGACAAAGUCUUUUUUCAUUUCCUUCUUAUGCCCUUUGGUUGAAAAUGAAUCGUUGGUUUCAUCUUCAGGAGGGUGGAACUUAAUUUGAAUUGCAAUGUUGGACAUUUGCACUUACCCAUAAGUGGACUUGAUGCAGUUUCCAGAGACUUCUGUUCAUGACCCUCGAUGAAAACAGGUGCUUGGUAUUGGCUAUCAAUAGAUUUUCAAGCUCACCAAUUCCGAAGUUUUUUUCCCUGGAAACUAUGGAUGAUGGUUCGUACGGAGUCUGGUGUGCGCAUAAGAUAGAGAUUAUACUUGGAAAACAGUGAAUUCUGGGCAUAAGGGCAACUAUAAUGAAUUUUCGCGGUGCACUUCACAUCUUUCUAUCAGGAUCCUGUGGAAGUGAUGAAAAUAGGCAAAUACACUCGCAAAAGCGAAGAAUAUAGUUUCAUGCUUGAACUUUUAGAAGGCGGGUAGGCACUACGCUGCUUUUGCAAUUACUUGGAGACAUUGAACAAGAAUAAUGGUACAUGUAGCCUUUUGUCUUCUACACUAUAAUUCGGAGUUCAUGACUAACUUCAGCAAGAAGUUAUUCAUCGCAAAUUUCCGCCCCCCCACCCCCCCUCAAAGAUGUUCAGCCGAUAUUCAGAACUCAAGGAGAAUCGGAUGGUUAACUGGUUUGUGUCAGUGUUGGAUCAAAAACUAUAAACGCUACACUGAUAUACCAUGUAAAUAGUACUUACCUCCAGCCAUCCGGGACGAAUGGCUCGAGCCCUGAGAUGCAGCCAUCCGUUCUUUCCGCAUCCGGAGAUCGUUCAGCAGCUUCUGCGCAAAAUCUGACCUCGUUGCCAUGCUAUAGACUUCUCGAACCUGGAAGCGAAAGAAUGUUUCAGCAACCAAAGAGCACACCAGUUUUCUUCUGGUGCUGGUUUGUUCUGUUGAAAAAAGAAGUGGUAGAACUAAUGCAUAGUUUUUAAUUAGUGCGGUUGAAAUGGGGCUUUCAGAGUUGGAGAAGGUGGAAAGAGUUCAUCAGUCCGAAGCAAUCUUAACUCGGGGGUAGAAAAAACUGAAGACUGGAAUGAAAGGUUGAUGUGAACGUUAGCUCUGUUUCUUCUGAGUCAAGUUCUUUUUGGCAAUUGAUUUGUCAUGACUUCCAUUGUAAUCCAAGCAAUGACAUAUAUUUCAAACACGCGUAUAUCAAAGCCUUUUCUUUAUUUUCCCA